GACGAACGCUGGCGGCGCGCUUAACACAUGCAAGUCGAACGGAAAGGCCUGCUUUCCCUUGUGGAUUGCGGGUACUCGAGUGGCGAACGGGUGAGUAACACGUGAGUGAUCUGCCCCCAACUUGAGUAUAAGCCUGGGAAACUGGGUCUAAUUCCCGAUAGGACUGCAGGGUGGUGCCUGUGGUGGAAAACGAUUUUCUAGUGGUUGGGGAUGAGCUCGCGGCCUAUCAGCUUGUUGGUGGGGUAAUGGCCUACCAAGGCGGCGACGGGUAGCCGGCCUGAGAGGGUGGACGGCCACAUUGGGACUGAGAUACGGCCCAGACUCCUACGGGAGGCAGCAGUGGGGAAUAUUGCACAAUGGGCGGAAGCCUGAUGCAGCGACGCCGCGUGGGGGAUGACGGCCUUCGGGUUGUAAACUCCUUUCGACCGCGAGGAAGCCACCUGGUUGGAAGGGUGGUGACGGUAGUGGUAGAAGAAGCACCGGCUAACUACGU
rnacentral:rRNA from 1 species